rnacentral:rRNA from 1 species
GAUGAACGCUGGCGGCGUGCCUAAUACAUGCAAGUCGAGCGAACAGACGAUGAGCUUGCUCCUCUGACGUUAGCGGCGGACGGGUGAGUAACACGUGGAUAACCUACCUCUUAGACUUGGAUAACUUCGGGUAACUGGAGCUCAUACCGGAUAAUAUAUUGAACCGCAUGGUUCAAUAGUGAAUGACGGUUUUGCUGUCACUUAUAGCUAGAUCCUCGCCGCAUUAGCUAGUUGGUAAGGUAACGGCUUACCAAGGCAACGAUGCGUAGCCGACCUGAGAGGGUGAUCGGCGACACUGGAGGUGGGACGCGGUACAGAGUCCUACGGGAGGCAGAGGUAGGGAAGCUUCCGAGAUGGGCGGAAGCCUGACGGAGCAGCGCAACGUGGAUGAUGAGGGUCUUCGGAUCGGAAAACUCUGUUAGUAGGGAAGAACAAAUGUGUAAGUAACUAUGCACGUCUUGACGGUACCUAGACAGAAAGCCACGGCUAACUACGUG